rnacentral:rRNA from 1 species
AACUCCCUACGGGGGGCAGCAGUAGGGAAUUUUCGUCAAUGGGCGCAAGCCUGAACGAGCAAUGCCGCGUGAACGAGGAAGGUCUUCGGAUCGUAAAGUUCUGUUGGAGGGGAAAAAGAGCGGAGAGAGGAAAUGAACUCCGAUUGAUAUUACCCUUCGAGGAAGCCACGGCUAACUACGUGCCAGCAGCCGCGGUAAUACGUAGGUGGCGAGCGUUAUCCGGAAUGAUUGGGCGUAAAGGGUGCGUAGGCGGCCUGCUAAGUCUGGAGUGAAAGGUACCGGCUCAACCGGUAUAGGCUCUGGAA